UACAGAGGUCCCGAGCGUUGUUCGGAUUCACUGGGCGUAAAGGGUGCGUAGGUGGUGAGGUAAGUCGGAUGUGAAAUCUCGGAGCUCAACUCCGAAACGGCAUUGGAAACUACCUUGCUGGAGGGUUGGAGGGGGGACUGGAAUUCUCGGUGUAGCAGUGAAAUGCGUAGAUAUCGAGAGGAACACCAGUGGCGAAGGCGAGUCCCUGGACAACACCUGACACUGAGGCACGAAAGCUAGGGGAGCAAAC
rnacentral:rRNA from 1 species